UGGAUUGAACCCGUGACUAGCUUUCUUCAGCAUAUGUAAAAUGAUGUCUGCUUUUCUUCUCUAUUUGUCAUUUUACCGACUUUUUAUAUAUAGUAGUUUCCCCAUAUCCAUGGAGGAUGCAUCCCAAGACCCCCAGAGGAUGCCUGAAACCACAGAUAAUAACAAAUUCUAUGUAUCCUAUCAUCUUUCCUGUACAUCCUUACCUAUCAUAAAAAAUUGAAGUUCAAGUAUAAGGAGAAUUUUUACAUCGCCUAGGUUCUAAUUUGGAAGGUUCCUAACAGCCCUCUGUCCUCUUCUGGUGCUCACUGUGAAAGAAUUUGCACCUGCAACACUAAGUGUUUGUGCUAGAAUCCACUUCUGAUGUUGGCUGCUCUGACACAGCUUCCAUUAGGAAGCGGUCACAUCCAGACUCACCAGGCCUGAGAUGUUGGAAGAUGGAGAGCGCUUGCCACGGGAAAAAUCCUCCAAGAACACAAGAAUGAAACUUGGCCUGCAUCUGGGACAUCCUUCUCUACGGCUGGUCUGCAAGGCAGGUGCUCUGCACAUGCUCCUUGGCUGACUCCAAGGCAGAGAAGAAGCACGUGAGCCGCACCCCCACAGGAGGCAUGGACAUUUGCCUCCCUUUUAUAAUAGCUGUAUUCAAAUAAGGUAUCCUGGAAGCCUCGUUCUGAUAGGAUGAGAGCAGACUCCAUACUACAACACGGAUUGGAUAAUAGUCUCCAACUCUGAUUGGUUAAGAUUGUGCAAUCAGAGAUGGAGAUUAUUAUCCAAUAAGAGUUGUCAAAAAGGUUCCUUGCGCAGGUAUCGUCAUGGACCGGAAGUGACGACACCGGAAGUGACGACGACCGGGAGCGUGUGCGGUGCACGCCUGCCUUGAGGCCAGCCUCAGACAAGGGUGUUCCAGGUGCAGGCGAAGCGUCUUCCAUGUGUUCCUGGAGGACCGUCCGAAGACCCUCUCCAUUCUCCCAACCUCUCGGGCCUGGUGAGUCUGGAUGUGAGCGCAUCCCACGGGGCCCAAGGCACAGAGAGAGAGGAACGGGGUAGAGGGAGGGAAGCGUGUGCAGGAGCCAGGAGCGCCAGGCUGCCCAGGCUUCACCCCAUGGCCGCCGGGAACCGUGGCCCCACUCGGCCAAAGGCAGAGUCCGGCCCUCCUCCUGCUGGCACUAUCACCUCCCUGGGGUCCUGCCUUCUGGGUCCCUGCAGGCUUCCUGUCAUCUGGCACUGGAAAUAAGCUAGCGAAACAAAAUUUCGUGAAUAUUGGCCUUUGCAUCUUUUUCUUCAUUUUCAAUGCUGGUUUUUCUGUUGGGUCAUUUAUGUUCUUACAUUGAUUUGAAUAAUUUUAAAAUGUAUUUUAUAAAUUAAUUCUUCAUGGGCUCAUUUCUAGUGUAGAUAGUUGUUUCCUAGUCUGGUCAUUGUUCCUUAAUUUUAUUUUGCAUUUCUUUCUUGCUGAUACAUAGGAAUCUAAUUGAUUUUGUGUAUUUAUCUUGCAUCCUGUAGCCUGGCUUAAUUCACAUAUUCAUAGGCAUCAUUUUUGGAUUGUGGUGUAUUUUUCAUGUACAUAAUAGUGUCAGCCACAUACAAUAACAGCUGUAUUGCUUAAAUGUUGGUUCUUACGCCUUUAUUUUUGUUUUAUUGUCGCAGUUACACCUCCAGCACUGUGUGAAAUAGAGGGGAUGUGUCCAGGAAGUCUUGCUUGGUUCUGAUUACAGUGGAAAAGCUUCAGUGGUCCCGUAUUGUAAUUUCAUUUUAGACAAGCUUAGUCAGAUUAAGGAAGCUGCCUUCCUUUACAUUUGCUAAGAGUUAUGACUAAUUGUUGAAUUUGAAUAAAUGCUUUUUUUACA